GGGGAGCCCGCCCGGAACGUUUCGAAGUGCGUGGCUCGCGUCCCCCAGUCGGUCGUGGUUACCUUGUGCAGGUCGCGCGCGCCCUUCGUGCAGAGCGAAGCGGCGUCGCGCGCGUCACGCAUCAGACCUCUA
rnacentral:rRNA from 1 species